AGCGAACGCUGGCGGCAGGCCUAACACAUGCAAGUCGAACGAAGCCUUCGGGCUUAGUGGCGGACGGGUGAGUAACACGUGGGAACGUACCUUUUGGUUCGGAACAACUCAGGGAAACUUGAGCUAAUACCGGAUGAGCCCUUAGGGGGAAAGAUUUAUCGCCGAAAGAGCGGCCCGCGUUAGAUUAGCUAGUUGGUGAGGUAAAGGCUCACCAAGGCAACGAUCUAUAGCUGGUCUGAGAGGAUAAGCAGCCACACUGGGACUGAGACACGGCCCAGGCUCCUACGGGAGGCAGCAGUGGGGAAUCUUGCGCAAUGGGCGAAAGCCUGACGCAGCCAUGCCGCGUGAAUGAUGAAGGUCUUAGGAUUGUAAAAUUCUUUUACCAGGGACGAUAAUGACGGUACCUGGAAAAAAAGCCCCGGCUAACUUCGUGCCAGCCGCCGCAGUAAAAC
rnacentral:rRNA from 1 species